CACGGAUCCCCUCGGAGGCAGAUACAAGUGCUCGAAAUGUUCUAAAUCGUAUCGUUGGAAGCAUCAUUUGGUGGAACAUGUAAAGGCGUCCUGCGGCCAGAAAAAGGCCGAGUGUUGCCCUUACUGUAGUUACAGAAGCAAUCGAAAAUGGAAUCUCAAGUCUCACAUGAAGAGAAUACACGCGGAUAUAUAGAUGUUCGAUUCGUUCGCGUGGUUCGUGGCUGUUUCACCAUCUUUUCCUGUAUACAAUAAAACUAAGCUUAUGGACGUUUUCUUUGUAUCGGAUCGUCUUGAAAUCGCAAUUUCCAACGUUUGUUUUCAUCCUUGCCGCCGUAACAAGCACCGCCGAUAGAUCGAAAUUUUACCAAAGGUACGUUACAGCCGAUCGUGUUUUUCGGUAUUGCGUUCUCCACGCGUCUUUCGAUCGCUGCCAUCGGUACGUUUAUCACCGUUUUUCCUUCCUGCGUCUUCUCUUCUCCGAUCCCUUCUAUGGGAAUCGAACGGCACAGGGACAAGCCAGAUAAUUCUCCGUAAUCACGGUGGAACGCACUUUUGCGUUUCUGUUACAACUGCGAUUAAUUCGUGUUACAGGGCGAGGCUAUUACAGUGACAGAGGGACGAGAUCUUUCGGAGGAAGAUACACGAAAUGCAAGUUCGAACUCGAACGAAUCAGAUCAGCUGUCGAAGCAGUGGCCAGUGGGUUGUCUCUCAGGAAGGCAGCUGACAUGUACUGCAUAUCCAAGUCUGUUCUUCAUCGUUACAGUAAACUGGGAAUUCCAGUUUUAAUGCAGAAAUACACGCGAAACGAUUCGAAAUCCUGGAAUUACCAUACGCCUUGCAGCGACUAAUUUUUUCACAACUCGUUCUCACAUUGAUUUCCUAUAUAUAUAUAUAUAUACAUAUAUAUAUAUAUAUAUAUAUAUUAAUUUAUUUAUUUGUACAAAAAUAAUAAUAACAAUAACAACACAACACUAAUAUAACAGAUACAAUGAAAAAUAUGUCUAAUAGCAGUGAGUAACGUAAUAAAGUAUGACUGAUUUAUCACGUAUCGAUCAUGUACCUGUAAUUGACCUGCGUUGUAACUGUGGUAACUGAAAGUUAACCGUCUGCGUAAAAUCCGAUCGGUUUACGAAGGAAUCGUGUCGUGGAACGCCAGAAGAAGAGAAACAGGGGAGAAAAAAGAGUUGGACCCAGUUACCAUAGAGGUAACGUGAUCGUAUUGUUUCUUUUUAGGAAACGACUUGACAAAGACUGCAUGAGACCCUGCCUCGUAGUCCCUCGCGGUACUUUAGCCUGUCGUGCCUCUGCCAACGAAUUCUCGAAAGCCAGUGUAUAGUUUUUCCAGCAAAACGAUCAAAGAGGCACGUGGCUCAAAAUAGUCGUAGCUAUUUUGCGCUACGUAUUUUCCCGGAUGAAUUCUCGAACAACGAUCGAAACCGUUCGAACGAAACCGCUCGCUCGCGAAAUCUACGGAUACGAGCUUCGAUACUUGCAACGAAGCUCGCUACGACAUGAAUGGCACGGCUGCCGUAUGAAUAUCGCGAAAGUGCCAUCCUCACGAACGAAUUCCUCGGUAUUUUCGUCGACCGUUUCUAAUAUCCGUCUCUUCUGUCUUUCGAAUUUUUCAGAGUCGCGUUCUGUGGGCUACCUGAACUGCCAGAAAGUCACCUAUCCGUGCAAGAACUGUGGCAAGGUAUACAAUUACUACUCCAGCCUGGCGAGGCAUUUGAAGCACGAAUGUGGCGUGGAACCCAAGUUCCACUGUCCCCUCUGUCCUUACAGAACGAAGCACAAGUCCAGCCUGAACACCCACUUGAACGGCAGGCAUAUGAAACUUUUGAGCGAAUUCUACGCGAUGCCGAAUGGGAAUAAGCUGUCAUCCUCCAUGGACGCUGGAAACUAAUCUACUUCGUCAACGACUAUUUUGCUUUCUACUCGAGACACGUCGAUCGACAUCUCUUCAAGACUACAUCGACGACGGUCGAUCUUUUCCCGGUCUGCGCGAUAGUCCCCUUUCCCCUCGAAACUCGUGUCUUUUAACUUCGCUGGUGAACUGCAGUGAUCAAACUGAGAACGAGUUUUGCGUUAAAAACCUUGCACGACCUUAAACGCGAUUAGCGGCGAGACUUUUUUACUUUUCAUAGUAGCUCUAUUUUCAUACCGUGUAACGACAUGCGCACUAUUACGCACUAUUACGUAUUUACAGUGUGUCGUUACUCGUAAGAAUUUGUUCGUCGAGCGAUUAUGAGAAAGAAAAGAAGACGGUCGAUUGAGUAGAUCGCGUGCUCUUUGUGCGUCCAUUUCUACAAUGUACAGACAAAUUCGUGCAUCGGUGUAACGCGACGGAGGACAUAAUUUGAUAAAAUGUACGCGUACCUUUGAAACUCUACGGUUUAUUCGCAACUUGCGGAUGCAAGUUUGUGGAUUUUGUGCAAACCGCGGAGAAAGUUGGCUGAGACGUCGAUUGCCACGCGCAAUGUAUAAAAUCUAUAUCGGUUUGUAAACGAAAUUAGACAAGGAUCAAGUAGGUUAACGGGCGCUGGUAAAUCUUUUGUUGAGAAACGAACGAUCGUUUACGUUUAAUUCACUUACGCUUACUAUACAUAUACGCGAUCGACAAUAAACGAACGAAAUAAAGAAAAUUCCACCGGUGUUAUAGCUAUGUACAUUGCGUUCACGUUCUUUGAAAGUUCAUCAACCCAAUUAGACUGCAAUUAGAUAUCGACUGUACCACUUACGCGCUCUACGUGCAUACAUAAAUAUUUCUUACCAAUAAAAGAGAAAACUUAAAAAUUCGGGUAUUUCUUCGAAAUUUCUUAUUUUUCACCAAAGUCGAUGUUCAUCGUUAAAACAGGAUGUUCCGUUCUUCGGUAAGGUGACGACGUUUCGUUCUUCCCGUUCUUAUCGAUCGACAUACUCUCGAAUCUGAAUCGAAGGCAUCUUUCCGUUGAAAUUUCCAUCAAAUUUACGGAUGAAAAUCGAAUCGUACGAAAUUCCGGCGCGAGGUAACUCGACAUGACAGAUACCUAAUUUCUCUUGGCGAAUCUUUGAAUUCGUUUCCCUUCUGCCUUCUCUUUUCUUCCUUUUUAACUUUGCAAAAUUUCUCAGCUGUUUUCCCCCCUUUUCUCUUCCUCUUUCGCCCAUUUGCCUCGUAUCUCGGUUACCCAAUGCACGAUUCUCCUUUAAUUUGACGAUCGACGAUUCCAGAGUGCAGUUUCGUGUCGCGGAAAGGCGAGCGAAGCGAAAAACGACGGCGAAUCGGACGAGAAACCGUCAGGUUCAAAGAUCCUCGAGACGUCGCUUCAUGACCGAGCGUGGAAACCUGUGAAAAUCAGAAGAUACAAAUGCCUAUACCGACAACGUCGCAGCAAGUAUAGGAGCAGUAUAUCGAAGCAUAUGAUGCGUAUUCGUUCGAGUCUCCUCUACUCGUGAUCGAACGAUGCGAUGGUCGCGUUAGAAAAGACCUAGAAGAGUGUAACCCAUACAAAUACAAAUAUCAAGUUUACCGUACAAAUAUCGGCUCCGACAAUAGCGAUCGUUGUAUCAUUCGCCGCCACGGUCGUAGGUGAAAUGUAAUUUGAAUUUUUCGAAAAUAUACUUCGCCUGACAUACUUAACCUGAUGGCUAUUCGCAGUUGUUAUGGAUCGAUUCGGGGAUGCAUCGUCGCAACGUUGCUCGAUGCUCGCCGCUCGACACUCGAAAAAUUGACUUCGAGGCUGUCGACGUGGCAGCACGACGUUCUCGUCCUCCUUUUUUUCUUUUUCUUUUUUUUUUUUUUUGUUGUCAAGGAUCUGCGAUCCAAAACUACGACGAUUCGUCCAAUCGUGUUCGAUACCAUCUGCAUGUAACGAAAACGUAUCCCGUUUGUCUUACAUUUCGGACAAAUUACAACGUUUAAUUCUUUUCCUUAGCCCCUAGUCUCCUUUUCGUUUUGCUCGUAAGUACGGCUAGUGCGUACGCUUAGAGGCAUAUGUAACGUACGUACGUCAUACUCGCGUUGAUCGAUGAAAGGACGUUCGUUCCAUUCGCGCAAAUAAUCCGUCCAACGACGAUCGAAGGAACGACGAUCGCGAUCUGUAACUUGGAAUUUUAACCGAAUGAUUUCUUCCUGGUUGCAGAUUACGCGAAAAUGAGGUUCUACGUGAGUCGAUUGCCCAAGGACCGAAGGAGGUCGCGCGGACAAGGGCGAUUCGCCUGCGACAAUUGCGAUCGCCGUUAUCACCAAAUGAAGAACCUGCGCAGACACGUGAUAAACGAAUGCGUGGAGUCCCAGUAUCCUGCGAUUUCGGUAUUCAAGCAUACCUGUGCCACCUGCGGCAAAACGUACAAGCAUAAGCAUCAUCUGAAGAGGCAUCACGAUUUCGAAUGCGGCAUCGACCCAAAGUUCAAAUGCGCUUUCUGCCCACAUAGAACACGAUACAAGGAUAGCCUGAUGAAGCACAUACUGGCCAGACAUCAGCAUUUUCUCGAUCAGAAUCCUCGUUAUAGAUUGCAACAGGUGGACGCCCUUGCCGAUGUCGAGGACACACAGAAAUACAGCUCCUCCAAUUGGACGGUACUGGCGUUGCCGACAUUGACACCGGUUAAUACCGCCCUGUACACCAGGCACCUGCGGUCCAUGACAUUUAAGGGCGAUCAGGACAAGAUGCGCCGAUAUGGCCCGAGGAAAUACCUGUGCACCGAUUGCAAUCGAAAGUUUGCGUUGAUGGCCUCGUUGAAACGUCACAGAACCUUCGAGUGUAACAAACGAACGGCAAUGAGCGAAAAGAUCGUUAGGGAGAGAUUGAACGAACAGGAGAGAAGAAGGAAGAAAAAGCACACUUGCCCCAACUGCAAUCGUAGCUACAAGUUGUUCACGUCGCUCUGGAGGCAUCAAAACUACGAGUGCGGUGUCGAACCCAAGUUUAGUUGUCCCAUUUGCAAGAAUAGAUUUUCUCAAAAGGCCAACCUCGAACGACACGUUAGAACGAAGCAUUGAACGUCGUCGUCGAACCUCGUUUCCUUUUCUUUUGUCGAUAGAUGAACGCUCGUACGAAAAACUCUACUUUUCAAAUAGGUGACCAACUAUCAAAGAAAUAUAGCGAAAAGCGUAUCGCGAAUAUCGCGAACGCUUCGUAUCCGUCAGUUUUCUUAUUUAACAUUAAAAUUACAAAUUCAAAUUCGCGGUACGAAAAACGUAGCAAUUUCGAUUAAUUCCGCAAAUUUACCUGCGCCGUUGAAUCGCCUGUUUUCCGAUUAGGGCCUGUAUAAGUAAAAUGUACUAGAAGCAUACACGAUCCUCUCACGAGAACCGAUUCGUUGUUGAUUAAGCCGUAGCUUCGUUAAAAGGUGUGCAACGCGUCCAAAGAUAAAGUGUAAUUAUACGAAUGGAAUAAACGUGUACGAUUUCUGAGUCGAUGCGUUCCUCUACAUUCAACGAAAACCAGUUUCUUUUAUUAAUGUUUAUCGAACUGCUGCCGUCCAAUCGACAUUUCUCGAUCGGUGUACACCGAUUUUUCCUUACGAUAACACGAGAGCCUUUCUUCGAAGGGAGUUUCUAAAUGUGACAGUGAAAUCAUUCUUCUGUUUUGGUGUCCAAUCCACGUAAAUUGUGUACUCCGCGAAAUAUCGAUUAUUUCUCUCUAAUAGGAUCUCCCGUUUAUUUCUAGGAUUCAGACGGAGACUCGUGUUCCAGAGUAACGUCACACGCACGAGGUCCGUAAACGCGGCAGAGGCGCCUGUCAAUUGUCCACGAUGCGGAAGAACGUAUAAGAUGAAGAGAAAUUUAACCACACACAUGAAAUUCGAAUGCGGCGGACAGAGAAACUUCACGUGUCACGUUUGUCCGGCGAGAGACGCAAAUCACCGCUUGGGGAUCCAGAAACGGAUGCUUGAGGAACGUGGAAGCGUUCACCUGUCACCAAUGCGGCAGGUCGUAUCAAAUGAGGCACAAUCUGGUGAAACAUUUGAGAUUCGAAUGCGGUGGGCAGAAGCAUUUUGCCUGUAACCUAUGCCCGGCGAGAUACACGCAGAAUGGAAAGCUAAGACAACAUAUGCUAAACGCGCACAACAUCUUUGUCCCGCCGCGCAAGACGUGGAUGAGAUCCGCGUACGGUUAAAUGCCGUAUAUUUCUCAACGUCUUCGUUCGUUACCGUUACUUUCAUAGUCUCCACAAUUAGGUCAUUGUCACUGAUACUUCAUCGAUUGGAAGAUAUCGUUUGCCGGUCAUCAGUGAAGAACGCAGAUCUUCGUUUCACUUCCCGAAGAAGAACUACUUUCAAGCUGCACAAAUAAAACAGACGAUAAACACGAUCCACGAAGAUUCACUCGAAGACGCGUUUCGCGCUCUCCUAACGUUUUCAGUGGCUCUCUCCAUGUAGAAUUAAAUAAACGAUUAUCCACCAGUCGUGUUCGUUUGGUCGUUGAUUCAUUUGACACGUAGGAAAAGUGAAAACCGUAA